GCGGCGGACGGGUGAGUAACACGUGGGUAACCUGCCCAUAAGACUGGGAUAACUCCGGGAAACCGGGGCUAAUACCGGAUAAUAUUUUGAACUGCAUGGUUCGAAAUUGAAAGGCGGCUUCGGCUGUCACUUAUGGAUGGACCCGCGUCGCAUUAGCUAGUUGGUGAGGUAACGGCUCACCAAGGCAACGAUGCGUAGCCGACCUGAGAGGGUGAUCGGCCACACUGGGACUGAGACACGGCCCAGACUCCUACGGGAGGCAGCAGUAGGGAAUCUUCCGCAAUGGACGAAAGUCUGACGGAGCAACGCCGCGUGAGUGAUGAAGGCUUUCGGGUCGUAAAACUCUGUUGUUAGGGAAGAACAAGUGCUAGUUGAAUAAGCUGGCACCUUGACGGUACCUAACCAGAAAGCCACGGCUAACUACGUGCCAGCAGCCGCGGUAAUACGUAGGUGGCAAGCGUUAUCCGGAAUUAUUGGGCGUAAAGCGCGCGCAGGUGGUUUCUUAAGUCUGAUGUGAAAGCCCACGGCUCAACCGUGGAGGGUCAUUGGAAA
rnacentral:rRNA from 1 species